rnacentral:rRNA from 1 species
UUCCUACGGGGGAGCAGUGGGGAAUAUUGCACAAUGGGCGCAAGCCUGAUGCAGCCAUGCCGCGUGUAUGAAGAAGGCCUUCGGGUUGUAAAGUACUUUCAGCGGGGAGGAAGGCGACGGGGUUAAUAACCNUGUCGAUUGACGUUACCCGCAGAAGAAGCACCGGCUAACUCCGUGCCAGCAGCCGCGGUAAUACGGAGGGUGCAAGCGUUAAUCGGAAUUACUGGGCGUAAAGCGCACGCAGGCGGUCUGUUAAGUCAGAUGUGAAAUCCCCGGGCUUAACCUGGGAACUGCAUUUGAAACUGGCAGGCUUGAGUCUUGUAGAGGGGGGUAGAAUUCCAGGUGUAGCGGUGAAAUGCGUAGAGAUCUGGAGGAAUACCGGUGGCGAAGGCGGCCCCCUGGACAAAGACUGACGCUCAGGUGCGAAAGCGUGGGGAGCAAACAGGAUUAGAUA